CUUAUGUCAAAAGGCAGCCGUUUACAAGUGUAAUAUGGCCGUUAAGCCUGCAGUAGUAACUUGUGUUGUCGACAGUAUGACAGUGACAGAUAACUUCAGAUCAACAUGUGCCAACUCCAAGCAACUGAUGCGGCUAACGCUGUAUUCAAUGGUAUGAUUUUCAGACCCAAGAUACCAGCACAGCAUCUUGCAAUGCAGUGAGGUUUUCAUAUAAUCUCCAGUUUUCGCAAAAUUUGUGCAGAGGUAAGCUUUAUUGCAACUUGUUUAGUUUGUUGGCAACUGCCUUAUGCGGACCGUUUAAACUCAUUAUGAACCUAAGUUUGAGAAAUAUACGUUUGGGUAAAAUGGAUGGUUUGGUUCAGGUUCUGUCUGAUUUUCUCUCUAAACAUAGUUCUGAUAAUACGCCGUUUUCUUAAUAUGCUUUACGCAGAGAAGGUUUUUAACCAGGAAUUUCACAAAAACUUCGAAAUUUGUCAGAGAACCAAUGUCACACUUGGAAAUCAAUUGCUUCCUCUAUUGUCCUUUCUUAUGGUUGUUGGUUACUUGUUCAUGCACUUUUUAGUUUGAGACAAACACAUUAGAGGUCAUCAGUAAGCUUAUAAUUGUGCAAUUAAGGCGAAGGCCUAUGUUAUUUUUGCUUUCACUUCAGAUGGAAAGGUAGUUGCUGAUUUUUCCGUACAAUCUGUGAAGAAAUGAAUUUAGUUUCCAGGGAAUUUUUGUUGAUUCUACCAUACUAUUGCAGAUUGAUCGUGAAGUAUAGGCCGACAAUGCCAGUUAUGCCAUUCGUAGUUCCGUAUGUUCCCCAUGCUAACGUGAUAUACAAAUCAAACACAAUGUCACAGACUUGGGCAAUAAUUUGACAUAAAAACUUUUGUAUCUCAAAUGACCUUUAACUCAAAAUAUGAAACUCAACUCAAAAUCAGUCAUUAUAUUUUAUCAUCAAUUUCAGUUUUCCCGAUUCCUUCUUUCCCUUCCCGCCUAUUCAUAAUCAAUGGAGGUCUCUGACUGAAACAAAAAUCAAAAUUAACCCUCAAUUACAAAUUAUUGAGAGCAAGCAGUGAUACCGGUGAUGGUGUUACUUUUCAUUCCCCUAAUUAGUUUCUCAUAUCAGCAACGAAGAGAAGAAUUAGAAUCUAGACAAACAUAAGAGGAGGUCACAAGAGAUGGGAGCUGAAGUUGCUGCAUACCAUAUACCUGGACUCUAGGAAUUAACCAGGAUGUGUCCAAUGAUGAUCUACGUAAUCACCUCGUAUUGGACCCUCACUUAAGGAAUAGAUCGAGGCUUUUUUCUAGCAAUUAGAUCUUAGAAAUCUCUGACACCAAACUGGAGAUGACCUGUGCAUGUGAGUUCCUGAUGGUAUUGAAAUGGUUCAAACAAUGGAUUAGCACCGUUGCGAACAUAAACGUCAUUAAUGGAAGAAGGAAUUGAACCAGUUACAGGUAGAUUUUGACAGACAGGUUGUUCGGGUAGGGGUGCGAAAUUGCUGGAUAGUUGAACUGAGGGGUCAGCUGUUUUAGGAAGUGGCUGCUGUUUUUCUUUAGAUAGUAAAGCUGUUUCACAGGCAUCUAAAGCCAUUGAUGCAACCUUUUGAAUUAUUCGAAUUUUUGUU